rnacentral:rRNA from 1 species
AUUGAACGCUGGCGGCAUGUCUUACACAUGCAAGUCGAACGGUAACAGGUCUUCGGAUGCUGACGAGUGGCGAACGGGUGAGUAAUACAUCGGAACGUGCCUAGUAGUGGGGGAUAACUACUCGAAAGAGUGGCUAAUACCGCAUGAGAUCUACGGAUGAAAGCAGGGGAUCGCAAGACCUUGUGCUACUAGAGCAGCCGAUGGCAGAUUAGGUAGUUGGUGGGAUAAAAGCUUACCAAGCCGACGAUCUGUAGCUGGUCUGAGAGGACGAUCAGCCACACUGGGACUGAGACAAGGCCCAGACUCCUACGGGAGGCAGCAGUGGGGAAUUUUGGACAGUGGGCGAAAGCCUGAUCCAGCAAUGCCGCGUGCAGGAUGAAGGCCUUCGGGUUGUAAACUGCUUUUGUACGGAACGAAAAGCCCCGGGUUAAUACCCUGGGGUCAUGACGGUACCGCAAGAAUAAGCACCGGCUAACUACGUGCCAGCAGCCGCAGUAA